GAUGAACGCUGGCGGCGUGCCUAAUACAUGCAAGUCGAGCGAACGGACGAGAAGCUUGCUUCUCUGAUGUUAGCGGCGGACGUGUGAGUAACACGUGGAUAACCUACCUAUAAGACUGGGAUAACUUCGGGAAACCGUCGCUUAUACCGGAUAAUAUUUUGAACCGCAUGGUUCAAUAGUGAAAGACGGUCUUUCUGUCACUUCUAGAUGGAUCCGCGCUGCAUUAGCUAGUUGGUAAGGUAACGGCUUACCAAGGCAACGAUGCAUAGACGACCUGAGAGGGUGAUAGGCCACACGGGAAGUGAAACAGGGACAAGACGCCUACGAGAGGCAGCAGAAGGGAAUGGGCCGCAAUGGGCGAAAGCAUGACGGAGCAAGGCCGCGUGAGUGACGAAGGUCUUGGGAUCGGAAAACUCUGUUAUUAGGGAAGAACAGAUGUGGAAGGAACUGUGCACAUAGUGACGGUACCUAAUCAGAAAGCAACGGCUAACUACGUG
rnacentral:rRNA from 1 species